rnacentral:lncRNA from 1 species
GAAAUUAAUUAAGUUGAUUGAUUGUUGUUUGCUUUACGUCCAGUAGCAAAUAUUUCAUGCAUGUUCAUGACUAUAACACAUAAAUUUUAAAUACAAUAGGUAGGUCGUGCAAUAGGAGGUCGACAGUGAGGUUGGACGUGAAACUUUAAAAUACCACUGGAAAAUGAGGGUAUAUUGAAUAAGGACAGAAAUUUAGACUUG